UGCUACCUACGGGGGGCAGCAGUGGGGAAUAUUGCACAAUGGGGGAAACCCUGAUGCAGCGACGCCGCGUGAGUGAAGAAGUAUCUCGGUACGUAAAGCUCUAUCAGCAGGGAAGAAAAAAAGUCUUUGGCUUUGGACGGUACCUGACUAAGAAGCCCCGGCUAACUACGCGCCAGCAGCCGCGGUAAUACGUAGGGGGCAAGCGUUAUCCGGAUUUACUGGGUGUAAAGGGAGCGUAGACGGCGAUGCAAGUCUGAAGUGAAAGGCGGGGGCCCAACCCCCGGACUGCUUUGGAAACUGUAUAG
rnacentral:rRNA from 1 species